ensembl:lncRNA
AUGCCGCAGGGGGUGCCGGGCAGGGAUGGGCGCUGUGGGAGGUGCGAGGCCGCAUGGCCUCCCGCAAAGCCUCGGCUGCUCCCAGGGAGCUGCUCCAGCACACCGGGACGGGACGGGAAUGGGGAUGGGGACAAGUGCCCCAGCGACCUGCACUGCUGCACCGGGGAGCGGCGCCACGACGGCCCUGCCGCCCGCCGGGCCCACGGCAGCCGCAGCGCCCGGAGCCUGCCGGUGUGCAGCCGGGGCUGCUGCGCCUGUGCCCCCCGCAGCCCCGCGCCCCGGCCCUGCCACGGAGCUGGCGACUCCUCACCCUGGGUGGGCAGAGCCGGAACCCUGGAGCCGGAGACCUCCGUGCACCAGGCUCCCGGUGGGAACUGGCCUGGCAGUGAUGCGGAGCCGGGCGUCAGUCCCGGGGGUGGCUGCGGCUGCGGCUGCGGUUGCGGUUGCGGCUGCUGCACGAGGCUGGGCCGCCCGCCAGGCGCAUGGAGCUGGAGCAUGGAGGAGCAGCGCUGGAACAGGGCCUGGAGCCGCCGAGAGCCAGAGGAGAGCCGGGAGAGCCGGCGCUGGGGGCAGGACUGCGGCUGGGGACCUGGCUGCCCCAGCAGGGAGCAGGAGGAGGACGGCGGGCCGUGGGAAGGGUGCCCACUGCAGCCCCCUGCCCUGGACAGGGGUCCUGGCCGGGACCGGGGACAGCCCACGCCGUGGGACCCGGACUCAGCGCAGCGCAGCCCCGGAGGAGCAGCAGAGCCCGCGGCCGGGACCGAGCCGCCUGGCCCUGACGGCAGGGCGGCGCGGGCAGAGCAGCCAGGCUCCGCCGCGCUAAAUAAAGUGGCCGCUGGCGGCCGACCCCGAGUGCUGCGCGUGGCGGAGGCUGAAACAUGUCGAGGCCCCGGCCGCUACCCCCUGCCCAUGCACCACCUGCCCCAGCCGGGCGUCGCGCUGGCCCUCCCCUGCCCAAAACCCCCUCUGCAAAUGCCGCCCACCCUCGAUGCACGAGCUGGCGCUGCCCCGGGCUGCCGGCUCCCCGUGCCGUGUGAAGGGCAGCACCGGAGCACGAGGCUGGGUUUUCCGGGGCCUGCCCUGGGCUGGAGUAUUUGGCCUCCCAGCCGCGGGUUCCCUGCUCCCUGCAAGGGGCUGGGCUGUUCCCCACGGAGCAGCCGAGGACCAGGGGGGCGCUGGGCGCCCUCCUCCUCCCCCAGACCUUAGACCCCUGCUCUAAGGGUCUCACCCAGGGGCCGGGAGCCCGCGCGCCCCGGGACGCUUGCAGGAACAGGGCUGCUCCCUGCCGCAGGGGGCCCGCGAGCCUGCAGCUCCCGCAGGAACUGGGUGCAGGAAGGGGGAUGCACUGGCACCAGCGAGGGUGCUGCUUCCCUUCUGCCCCACGCGCCGCAGCGCCAGGGCACCGGGAUGCGGUGGGGGCGCUGGCGGCAGCACCCGGCGUGCCGGCAGCGAGGGAGGUGGGUCAGGAGCCGCCAGCGCGCCCCCGGCCGAGCCCCUCCCCGCCAAGGACCAGAGGAGCCCGGCGCUUCGCACAUUCGCACUUUAUUCGGACGCCCUAGGUACAGGUGAGCGCAGCGACGGGGCGGCAUGCAGCAGCGCAGGAGCCCCGGGGAAGGGCCGCGGGGGGGGAGCGACGGGGACACGAGCAGCGGGGAAACCCCCGGCCCCCGGGGAGCGCGCCCGGCCCGCGCGGCCGGCAGCCGAGCCCCGGGCCGGGGGAGCGCGCUUGCCUGCGGUGCGGAGCCCAGCAGUCCCCGGGCUGCGGCCA